ACAAACGACUCUCGGCAACGGAUAUCUCGGCUCAUGCAUCGAUGAAGAACGUAGCAAAAUGCGAUACUUGGUGUGAAUUGCAGAAUCCCGUGAACCAUCGAGUUUUUGAACGCAAGUUGCGCCCGAAGCCUUUUGGCCGAGGGCACGUCUGCCUGGGCGUCACACA
rnacentral:rRNA from 1 species